rnacentral:rRNA from 1 species
CGAAAGCCUGACGGAGCAAUACCGCGUGAGGGAUGAAGGCUCGUGGGUCGUAAACCUCUUUUUCCAGGGAAGAAGUUCUGACGGUACCUGGAGAAUAAGCAUCGGCUAAUUCCGUGCCAGCAGCCGCGGUAAUACGGGAGAUGCAAGCGUUAUCCGGAAUCACUGGGCGUAAAGCGUCUGCAGGUGGUUUAGUAAGUCUGUUGUUAAAAACUGAAGCUCAACUUCAGGGGUGCGGCAGAAACUGCUAGACUUGAGUAUGGUAGGGGUAGGAGGAAUUUCUAGUGUAGCGGUGAAAUGCGUAGAUAUUAGGAAGAACACCAUUAGCGAAGGCGUCCUACUGGGCCAUUACUGACACUCAGAGACGAAAGCUAGGGUAGCAAACGGGAUUAGAUACCCCGGUAGUCCUAGCCGUAAACGAUGGAUACUAGAUGUUGCGGGUUUACCUGCGGUGUCGUAGCUAACGCGUUAAGUAUCCCGCCUGGGGAGUACGCACGCAAGUGUGAAACUCAAAGGAAUUGACGGGGGCCCGCACAAGCGGUGGAGCAUGUGGUUUAAUUCGAUGCAACGCGAAGAACCUUACCAGGAUUUGACAUACUAGGAAUUUCUUAUAAUAGAGAAAGUGCCUUCGGGAACCUAGAUACAGGUGGUGCAUGGCUGUCGUCAGCUCGUGUCGUGAGAUGUUGGGUUAAGUCCCGCAACGAGCGCAACCCUUGUCUUUAUUUGCCAUUCUUAAGUGGGGGACUAUAAAGAUACUGCCCGUGAAAAGCGGGAGGAAGGUAAGGAUGACGUCAAGUCAGCAUGCCCCUUAUAUCCUGGGCUACACACGUGCUACAAUGGCUAAGACAAUGAGAAGCAAGCUUGCGAAAGUUAGCAAAUCUCCGAAACUUAGCCCAAGUUCGGAUUGUAG